GGCUCUAGCCAUGCUGGACUGAAUGCACCCAGAAAAAUUUAACCUGGAAAGCUAAGCAAUCCCAGGCCUAGGUAGUACUUGGAGGACAGAUCAUCUUUGAAAUCCCACGUGCUAUAGGCA
rnacentral:rRNA from 1 species